rnacentral:rRNA from 1 species
AUGUCACUCCGGCUUCCACUUCCGCAAGGGCUCUCCUUUUUCAAAAGUGUUGGGUGGUUUGAAGACAGUAAGGUUGAUUCAGCUGCCAAGCAACAGUUGUCUCCAAAAUUUAAGCUCCAGACAGACAAGGAAGUGUAUAGACCUGGUGAUUCAGUUACUGCGACUAUCGAAAUCUGUAGUCCCGCUAGUUUAAAGGAUGAAGCGGAGGCAGCGUCAGGUGGAGUCACAUCUCUCUUGGUAGAUGGGCUAUCUUUCGAACUUAAAGGAAUUGAGAAGUUGGAUAGCCAAUGGUUCUCUGUUCCAAAGCCCAUACCAGGGUCUAAGCAAAGGAGAGGUGAAUAUUUGUUUUUGGAUUGUUCUUCACCCUCAUUAAUCUCCAAAGUAAUAAUUGCUUCGGGGCAAACAAAAACGUAUAUUGUACGUCUAGAGCUCCCAAGGGUUUUACCACCAUCAUAUAGGGGCAUCAGUAUUCGCUAUAUUUAUUAUGUUAGAAGUACAUUGUUUGGGAGAUUGAUUGACUUGGGUAAUGAGGAUCAAACUAAAGGCAAUGUAAAUAGUGCGGUUCAGCUGGAAGCCCGAGUCCCAUUGCAGAUAUGUGUUUCCCAGAAAAGCAGCAACUUACUAAAUGAAGAAGGUCACAUCUCGUGCUGUGAUUGUUAUAUGGAUCUUUUCGAAGUUUUCAUAACCUUCACAUCUUUGUGCGGGAGUUUUCCACUCUCGGUUGAGCAACUGAGUAUAUUUUGGAGGGAAAAAGAUGAUGAGUCAGAAUGGAUCAAAGCAAAUGAUAAUACUGAUCUAGAAGAAGGAUAUGAUAGUUCGAAAGAUGAAGUUUCAUCGGUUUCCUCAUACAACCCUUCCAAAUCAAAUAUGGACUUUCCCAUCAGGACCUCAACAUCGACGCUCUCCUUAUCAUCACGUCUCUCCAUGAAUGAAGCAUUGUAUUCUCAGGGAGAGCGCCCCACUUUCCCGUCAUAUAAUGCAAUUCCUCGAUUCUCAGUGUCCGAGAUUUCUGAUGACCAUGGUGGAGGACCGGUAUCACCUCUAAGGAAGCUAGAUCAUUUGCAUUUGGAUCGUCGUCCAUCAAAUGGUGAAAGAUUUUCUCUAGAUUCUGAUCGCCCAAAAGAUGACGUUGGACUCCCUCUCACGCCAAAACAUGUUGAACCAUCUGGAUCAGAAGGCUUUAUGAGAGGAAGAUCAUAUAAUAUACGAAUAGAUGAUCAAGUCUUGCUUCGUUUCUCACCAAAGAAUUCUGACUCAACUUAUUACUUUGGUGAUAUGAUUGGUGGAGCACUCACUUUUUUUCAUGGAACUGGAACGCGGAGAUGUCUAGAGGUAUCUAUAACCUUGGAAACGUCAGAAACAAUUAAUCCUCGUGUAAUACACCCUUCACGAAGGGUCUCACCGACAAUAACCAAGGUACACAGCGAACAUCAUGAAGUUGUUGCAGAUCUUCAUCAGACAAGUUUUCUCUUUUCAAUUCCUAUUGAUGGACCAAUGUCAUUUGCUACCUCAAAGGUUUCUGUACAGUGGUCCCUUAGAUUUGAGUUCUUCACAACUCCGGCAGGAAUGGACUCAUCAAGGUAUGAGCACCCACUUCUUGUUGAGAAAAGAGAGAAGGGGGACUGGGUCCUCCCAAUAACAGUUUAUGCACCGCCAAUGCGUAGACGAGCUACUCAUGGAAGAAACGAUAGAUCUGCGUUGGUUGGAAAUCUUCUCAACUCUUGA